GGCGAGUGAAGCGGCAAAAGCUCAAAUUUGAAAUCUGGCACCUUCGGUGUCCGAGUUGUAAUUUGAAGAAGGUAACUUUGGAGUUGGCUCUUGUCUAUGUUCCUUGGAACAGGACGUCACAGAGGGUGAGAAUCCCGUGCGAUGAGAUGCCCAAUUCCUAUGUAAAGUGCUUUCGAAGAGUCGAGUUGUUUGGGAAUGCAGCUCUAAGUGGGUGGUAAAUUCCAUCUAAAGCUAAAUAUUGGCGAGAGACCGAUAGCGAACAAGUACAGUGAUGGAAAGAUGAAAAGAACUUUGAAAAGAGAGUGAAAAAGUACGUGAAAUUGUUGAAAGGGAAGGGCUUGAGAUCAGACUUGGUAUUUUGCGAUCCUUUCCUUCUUGGUUGGGUUCCUCGCAGCUUACUGGGCCAGCAUCGGUUUGGAUGGUAGGAUAAUGACUAAGGAAUGUGGCUCUACUUCGGUGGAGUGUUAUAGCCUUGGUUGAUACUGCCUGUCUAGACCGAGGACUGCGUCUUUUGACUAGGA
rnacentral:rRNA from 1 species